UCAGUUUACUUUCUGUAUGUUAGGAUGG
rnacentral:piRNA from 1 species